AACGAACGCUGGCGGCGUGCUUAACACAUGCAAGUCGAACGCGAAAGUUUUCUUCGGAAGACGAGUAGAGUGGCGCACGGGUGAGUAACGCGUAUGUAACCUACCCUGUACAGGGGGAUAACCCGGAGAAAUUCGGACUAAUAUCCCAUAGAAAUAUCGGAAGGCAUCUUUUUAUAUUUAAAGUUCCGGCGGUACGGGAUGGGCAUGCGUAACAUUAGCUAGUUGGUAAGGUAACGGCUUACCAAGGCUUUGAUGUUUAGGGGUCCUGAGAGGGUGAUCCCCCACACUGGUACUGAGACACGGACCAGACACCUACGGGUGGCAG
rnacentral:rRNA from 1 species